CUCAGGCGGGAUACUUAACGCGUUAGCUUUGAUACUGAACAGGUCGAUCUGUUCAACAUCUAGUAUCCAUUGGUUAGGGCUAGGACGACAGGGGUAUCUGAUCGCAUUUGCUACCCUAGCUUUCGUCUCUCAGUGUUAGUAAUAGCACCAGGUAAAGUGCCUUCGGCCAUCGGUGUUCUUUCCUAUCUCUACGCAGUUCACCGCUCCACUGGAAAUUCCCUUUACCCCUACUAUACUCUAGUCUAAUAGGUUCGACUGCGAUUUUGAGGAUGAGCCUCUCGAUUUAACAGUAUGACUUACGUAAACCACACUACUGACGCUUUACGCCCAGUGAUUACGGAUGACACUUGCAUCCUUCCGUCUUACCGCGGCUGCUGGCACGGAGUAUAGCCGAUGCUUAUUCUUCAGGUACACGUCCAUUUUGAUCCACCGUGAAAAAAGAGGUUUACAACCCAUAGGCCGUCAUCCCUCACGCGGUAUUGCUCCGUCAUGGCUUUCGCCCAUUGCGCGAAAAUUCGCCCACUGAUUGCCUCACCUGUA
rnacentral:rRNA from 1 species